AGAGUUUGAUCCUGGCUCAGAACGAACGCUGGCGGCGUGUCUUAAGCAUGCAAGUCGUGCGGCAAGGGGUAGCAAUACCCCCUAGAGCGGCGGACCGGUGAGUAACGCGUGGGUGAUCAGCCUUUGGGAUGGGGAUAGCCAUCAGAAAUAGUGGGUAAUACCGAAUACGUUCGCUAAGCUGCGGCUUUGCGAGGAAAAGCGCUCCGGCGCUGCCCGAAGGUGAGCCCGCGUCCCAUUAGCUAGUUGGUGAGGUAAUGGCCCACCAAGGCGAUGAUGGGUAGCCGGCCUGAGAGGGUGUACGGCCACACUGGGACUGAGAUACGGCCCAGACUCCUACGGGAGGCAGCAGCUAAGAAUAUUCCGCAAUGGACGAAAGUCUGACGGAGCGACGCCGCGUGGAUGACGAAGGCCGAAAGGUUGUAAAGUCCUUUUGUUGGGGAAGAAUAACCAUGGGAGGGAAUGCCCGUGGGAUGACAUGAACCGACGAAUAAGCCCCGGCUAACUACGUGCCAGCAGCCGCGGUAACACGUAGGGGGCAAGCGUUGUUCGGAAUUACUGGGCGUAAAGGGCAUGUAGGCGGCUUUGUAAGCCCGGCGUGGAAGCCCACGGCUCAACCGUGGGAUUGCGUUGGGAACUGCGAGGCUUGAAUCAUGGAGAGGGAGCUAGAAUUCCUGGUGUAGGGGUGAAAUCUGUAGAGAUCAGGAAGAAUACCAGUGGCGAAGGCGAGCUCCUGGCCAAUGAUUGACGCUGAGGUGCGAAAGUGUGGGGAUCAAACAGGAUUAGAUACCCUGGUAGUCC
rnacentral:rRNA from 1 species